UACGGAGGAUCCAAGCGUUAUCCGGGUUUAUUGGGUUUAAAGGGUGCGUAGGCGGCUUUUUAAGUCAGGGGUGAAAGACGGUGGCUCAACCAUCGCAGUGCCUUUGAUACUGAAGAGCUUGAAUGAACUUGAGGUAGGCGGAAUGUGACAAGUAGCGGUGAAAUGCAUAGAUAUGUCACAGAACACCAAUUGCGAAGGCAGCUUACUAUGGUUUUAUUGACACUGAGGCACGAAAGCGUGGGGAUCAAACAGG
rnacentral:rRNA from 1 species